rnacentral:rRNA from 5 species
CGAAUGCUGACAUAAGUAACGAUAAAGCGGGUGAAAAGCCCGCUCGCCGGAAGACCAAGGGUUCCUGUCCAACGUUAAUCGGGGCAGGGUGAGUCGACCCCUAAGGCGAGGCCGAAAGGCGUAGUCGAUGGGAAACAGGUUAAUAUUCCUGUACUUGGUGUUACUGCGAAGGGGGGACGGAGAAGGCUAUGUUGGCCGGGCGACGGUUGUCCCGGUUUAAGCGUGUAGGCUGGUUUUCCAGGCAAAUCCGGAAAAUCAAGGCUGAGGCGUGAUGACGAGGCACUACGGUGCUGAAGCAACAAAUGCCCUGCUUCCAGGAAAAGCCUCUAAGCAUCAGGUAACAUCAAAUCGUACCCCAAACCGACACAGGUGGUCAGGUAGAGAAUACCAAGGCGCUUGAGAGAACUCGGGUGAAGGAACUAGGCAAAAUGGUGCCGUAACUUCGGGAGAA